GACGAACGCUGGCGGCGUGCUUAACACAUGCAAGUCGAACGGAAAGGCCCUGCUUUUGUGGGGUGCUCGAGUGGCGAACGGGUGAGUAACACGUGAGUAACCUGCCCUUGACUUUGGGAUAACUUCAGGAAACUGGGGCUAAUACCGGAUAGGAGCUCCUGCUGCAUGGUGGGGGUUGGAAAGUUUCGGCGGUUGGGGAUGGACUCGCGGCUUAUCAGCUUGUUGGUGGGGUAGUGGCUUACCAAGGCUUUGAUGGGUAGCCGGCCUGAGAGGGUGACCGGCCACAUUGGGGCUGAGAUACGGCCCAGACUCCUACGGGAGGCAGCAGUGGGGAAUAUUGCACAAUGGGCGGAAGCCUGAUGCAGCAACGCCGCGUGCGGGAUGACGGCCUUCGGGUUGUAAACCGCUUUCGCCUGUGACGAAGCGUGAGUGACGGUAAUGGGUAAAGAAGCACCGGCUAACUACGUG
rnacentral:rRNA from 1 species